UACGUAGGGGGCAAGCGUUGUCCGGAUUUAUUGGGCGUAAAGAGCGUGUAGGCGGCUUUGCAAGUCCGUUGUGAAAACUCGAGGCUCAACCUCGAGACGCCGGUGGAAACUGCAAAGCUAGAGUCCGGAAGAGGAGAGUGGAAUUCCUGGUGUAGCGGUGAAAUGCGCAGAUAUCAGGAAGAACACCCGUGGCGAAGGCGGCUCUCUGGGACGGUACUGACACUGAGGCACGAAGGCCAGGGGAGCAAACGGG
rnacentral:rRNA from 1 species